CAAACAAUGCUGGAGCUUUACUAGUGGUUGGUAGAGGACUUGUGGUUGUUCCAAAACUGAUUCACCCGUUGCCACCGCCACUUCACUCACCAGAAACAUCUCCGGAACAGGUUCAAGAUGAUACGUGGAUGCAGGAGCUUAAUAAUCAGAGACCACCAACUCCAACCAGGGGCCGAUCCAAGCCUAACUAUGACAGGAACUCACUUGCAUAUAUAUGAAUGGUGAUAUGAUUUCGGGAUUUUGGUUAAGUUGUCAGGUGGCACAAAAGAUCAAGAUUACUUUUGUGUUUAUCGGACAAAAUUACAAGUGAUAUAUUUAAAGUACAUAUAGCCUUGUUACAGUGGUGGUAGAUUACCAAUCUAUUGAUGGGUGUCUUGUUUAUUAUUGGAAUAAAUUACAUUACCAGACUUGGAUUCCAAAUGAGAGUAAUUGAAGAUGUUCUUGAUUGAA